rfam:Theobroma cacao cultivar Matina 1-6 chromosome 1, whole genome shotgun sequence.
UGGAGAAGGGGAGCACGUGCAGAACGCGAGACAUGGCAUUUGAGAAGCCAAAAUGGAUUGGCAAUUUUGCACGUGCCCUGCUUCUCCAAC